rnacentral:misc_RNA from 1 species
AUUAGGGUGUUUGGACUUUCUUUGCUAACGGGCUAGUACUAAUUUGUCAAAACUAAAAUUUCGAGAUUCUACUUGAAAUAAUCCAAAUCACAUGGUACUUUAUGUUUCUUUCCCCAAAUCUUAAUUGCAUUGUCAUACACAUUUAGAUACAUCGUGUAUCUAAAUUACUAGUUCAUUUUUAGAAUUAUAUGAUUAUGCUUAAUUUAAUAGGACUAGACCGAAAUGCAAAUGAACAUAAUUCUAUUAAAUUAUAAAAACACAAAAUAAAUAUGGAUACAUAAGUCAUAUACAAUCUCCAGUCCUAAGAUAAUAU